rnacentral:rRNA from 1 species
AUUGAACGCUGGCGGCAGGCCUCACACAGGCCAGUCGAGCGAGCGGCGGACGGGUGAGUAAUGCCUAGGAAUCUGCCUGGUAGUGGGGGAUAACUACUGGAAACGGUAGCUAAUACCGCAUACCCUCAGAUGAACCCAUAUGGGAUUAGCUUGUAGGUGAGGUAACGGCUCACCUAGGCGACGAUCCCUAGCUGGUCUGAGAGGAUGAUCAGCCACACGGGGACUGAGACACGGCCCUGACUCCUCCGGGAGGCAGCAGUGGGGAAUAUUGCACAAUGGGCGCAAGCCUGAUGCAGCCAUGCCGCGUGUAUGAAGAAGGCCUUCGGGUUGUAAAGUACGUUCAGUCGGGAGGCGUUACCGACAGAAGAAGCACCGGCUAACUCCGUGCCAGCAGCCGCGGUAAUUC